CGAAUUUCGUCAACCAAAAAAUGAUUAUUUGGUGGUGACAGCACAUGUGAAGAUCAAGAGGUGAUCAGCAACGAGGUGUUCAUCCACCAGGGUCACUCAUUCAUGUGAGGUCAGCAAGUUCAGCUGUGGGUCCCGCCACACUGCGGCAGUCACAACUGAAUAUGGCCAGCUGGGACAGGGGACCGUGAGCAGCUCAGACGAGCCAAGAUGAGUAGAGUUCUUCAAGAACCAGGGGCUGCGUGUGGUGGAUGUAGUGUAUGGGCCAUGGAACACUUUUGUUUCUGCUAUCAAAGAGGACCCCUCUCCAUCCUGACACAUAUCCUUUAUAACUAAGGACUACAUGGAAUGGAAAAACUGUCUGUAGGAGUUGAGCACUAAGGACAGUGAAUAUUUUGAUUGACUAGAUCAGGGCUUUUACAACCCUGUUCCUGGAGCGACCGUCCUGCAGCUUUUCAGUCCAACCCUAAUCUAUCGCACUGGAUUCUAAUAAUUAGCUGGUUGAUAAACUGAAUCACGUUAGUUACAGUAUAACUAGGGUUGGAGUGAACAUACAAGAGUGUAGCUCUCCAGGAACAGGGUUGGAGAGCCCUGGACUAGAUAUUCAUGGUUAUUUAAAAUAUUCAUGGUUAUUUUGAUGACCAAUUUACCCCUUUUACCAAAGAGCACCUUCUAUCUACCAAAAUGUACUAUUGUGUACCUUAGUAGCACUUCCC
ensembl:lncRNA